rnacentral:rRNA from 1 species
GACGAACGCUGGCGGCGUGCCUAAUACAUGCAAGUAGAACGCAGUUGCGAACGGGUGAGUAACGCGUAGGUAACUGCCUCAUAGCGGGGGAUAACUAUUGGAAACGAUAGCUAAUACCGCCUACUGUGAGAUGGACCUGCGUUGUAUUAGCUUGUUGGUGAGGUAAAGGCUCACCAAGGCGACGAUACAUAGCCGACCGUGGAGGGUGAUCGGCCACACUGGGACUGGGACAAGGCCCCGACUCCUACGGGAGGCAAGAGUAGGGAAUCUUCGGCAAUGGGGGGAAGGCUGAACGAGCAACGCCGCGUGAGUGAAGAAGGUUUUCGGGUCGGAAAGCUAUGUUGUUAGAGAAGCGGUAACUAAACAGAAAGGGACGGCUAACUACGUGCCAGCAGCCGCGGUAAUAC